UAUGACACUACUUCACUAUUCUCUAAAGCUGUUUGGGUUUCGAUUAAUCCAUUGCUUAGUACAGGAUACCAAUCCCCUUUAAAGUUAGAUGAAGUGCCUUUGCUUCCACCUGAUUUCCAAGUUGUAAGAACGUCUGAGUUUUUACAAAAUAAUUUCCCUAAGCCAGUGCAGUUGUUUGAUAUAUAUGUCGGAACAACUCUAAUCCGAAGUUUCAUUGCUACUGCUUCUGCAGAUAGAACAAAACUUUGAGCCCGAUUCAAAUGAAUCCGCAGCGCUGCACCACCCGCCCAGGUUAAAUUCCCACUGAUGUGUCGACUAAUUCUACAUCCAACCUUUUCGGCAAACUGGAAGCGUCUUCAUUUCUCUGCAAUAUUUACAAGAGCCAGUCAACAGUGUUCUGCAGAAGAUUUAGUACCUUGAAAGUUACCAACCACCUCAAGAACCCAGGAUACAUGGAAGUUUUCUGAAGUGAUCUUCAUUCCUCUGCAAUUUUUACAAGAGCCAUUCAACAGUGUUUUGCAGAAGAUUUAGUACCUUGAAAGUUACCAACCACCUGAAGAACCCAGGAUACAUGAGAAGUCUUCUGUGUGAUAUCUUCUAUGCUCAGUAUUGAACAUAUUUCAAAGCGAGGAAAUCACAAGCUAUUGCAGUUGGUGGUAGCACCUCCUGGUUUGGGAAACUCGAGGUAUUGCACCAUGAGUUCGUUUUGAAUGUGUCAACGAAAAAUGAACUUUGGCUAUAUGUACUAUUCUGGCUGGGUUGUCAAUCGUCAUGUUCAGAUGAACCUAUUGACAACCUCUUUUUAAUUUAAAUUGGAGCCAAAGUAGUAACAGUGUUGGAACAAAAAAGUACGAAAAGAUGAAAAAUAGUAUCAUUUAUUCAUAUAAAGUUUCAAAUAUAUCAUAAAGAAGCAUGUGUAGAGAACAUACUUAGUCCAAUUAACGAUAGUUGCUUUCGGGCCAUUUUGUUUCGCACAAGGUAAUUCGACUAACAAGAACAAGCCAAAGCUUCAUGUUGUGCUGCCUCCCCCUGCCUCAACAUCACAAAUGCAUAAUGGUAGUAAUCCCCGCUAAAGUUCGUACUCAACCGGAGAAGUUAAAUUCUUCUCUUAUUAACCAAUGGAAACAUCAGCACCCUGGCAGGAUGCAAAGAAAUAAGCAAACCAAUAUAUUUGUGAAGGUUUUUGGAGUUCUUAAUCCUUUGUUAAAAUGAGUGCAUCGAACAAAGUGGUGCCCCCUUAUAAAAUAGAUUGCUUUCUCAUUGUAUCAUUGUUUUAUGC